rnacentral:lncRNA from 1 species
GUUAAAUUACAUAUUGUCAUAAUCUCAAGCAACUUUUUACAUCAGAAUCUCAAUGUAAAGGAUGAAACUUUGACUUAACCUCAUUAUAUAAAGCCACUAUACUAACCAUUCUCUCCACCUCCAAAUUCAUAACCUAACCGCUUCACUUAAUUUCCUCCUCGGCUUCUCCUCCCACCACCGUGAGAAUUCAAGAAAAUGUCUCAGAAAGCUGGCGGUCGCCACCAGAGGCAGCCCUCUCGAAGCGUUUUUGUGUUUCCAGACAACUUCUCCUCUCCUCUUACGGAGGACAAUGAUGGCGGAGAUAGCAAGCUGCCUCCACUUGCAGCAGGUCCACCGCCGAAGGAGAAAACCGGCGGAGCCGGCGGUUCUUUGCCACCAACUCUUCCUCCCAAGUCUUUGGGAGGAAUGCCAGCACCAGAUCAUAGUGGAAAGGACAAAGCUUAAGUCCUGCCACUGGAAUUAAAUAAAUUAGUUUCUAUUUGUCCUUUAUCCCUAGAUCGUUUGCUGGAAAAGAAAGUUAAUAUAGGAUAUCAUCCUAUUAAAUAAAUAUAAAAAUUAAAUUCUCAGAUUUGAGUUUUUGAUUUCUCGCUUUCUGCAAUUCAUUUUAACUUUUUAUGUUAUUUUUUUCUUGCAUCAAUCUUUUGCUCCUUUUGAUCCAAUUCGCACAUCAAUUUUCGUG